rnacentral:tRNA from 3 species
CCGACUAGUUCCGGGUUCG